rnacentral:rRNA from 1 species
ACGAUUAGAUACCGUCGUAGUCUUAACUAUAAACUAUACCGACUCGGAAUUGGGCAAUUUUAAUUUAGAUUGCUCAGCGCCGUAAGAGAAAUCAAAGUCUUUGGGGUUCUUGGUGGAGUACGGUCCCAAGGCUGAAACUUAAAGGAAUUGACGGUUCUCUACACCAGUUUUGGAACCUGCGGCUUAAUUUGACUCAACACGGGAAAACUUAUCAGGGUAAAAAGGUAUUGGGAUUGACAGAUUGAGAGUUCUUUCUUGAUUUAUCUAAUGGUGGUGCAUGGCCGUUCUUAGUUGGUGGAGUGAUUUGUCUGGUUAAUUCCGAUAACGAACGAGACCUUAACCUGCUAACUAGUAUCGCGUUUUCCAACGUGAAUGCUUCUUAGAGGGACAAAGUGUUGUAAACACAAGGAAGUUUAAGGCAAUAACAGGUCUGUGAUGCCCUUAGAUACCCUGAGCCGCACGCGCGUUACAAUGACACUUUCAUCAAGUAUUUGCUGAUCCGAAAGGAUUCUGGCUAAUCUUUUUAGUGAGUGUCGUGCUAGGGAUUGAUCUUUGUAAUUGUGGAUCAUGAACGAGGAAAACCUAGUAAGCGUGGGUCAUUAGCCCACGCUGAUUACGUCCCUGGAGAAUGUACACAUCGCCCGUCGCUUGCUCCGAUUGAGUAAUCUGGUGAGCCUUCUGGACCGAGCAGCUUGCUGCAAGGAAAAAUAAGCAAACCAUAUUACUUAGAGGAUGAAGAAGUCGUAACAAAGUUUCCGUAGGUGAACCUGCGGAAGGAUCAA